AGCAGCAAAAACAGAACCUUUAGUGGACCAAACUGACGUUGCACAUUUGCCCCAUAGGGUUACACUGCAGCACGGUCUGUGGCUGCCACUUACAGUGUGCACGCUUCAUACUGGACCAAUUUAAAGAGUGUUGUUCCCAUCAGUCAUUUA